UGCAGUCGAGCGGUAGAGAGAAGCUUGCUUCUCUUGAGAGCGGCGGACGGGUGAGUAAUGCCUAGGAAUCUGCCUGGUAGUGGGGGAUAACGUUCGGAAACGGACGCUAAUACCGCAUACGUCCUACGGGAGAAAGCAGGGGACCUUCGGGCCUUGCGCUAUCAGAUGAGCCUAGGUCGGAUUAGCUAGUUGGUGAGGUAAUGGCUCACCAAGGCGACGAUCCGUAACUGGUCUGAGAGGAUGAUCAGUCACACUGGAACUGAGACACGGUCCAGACUCCUACGGGAGGCAGCAGUGGGGAAUAUUGGACAAUGGGCGAAAGCCUGAUCCAGCCAUGCCGCGUGUGUGAAGAAGGUCUUCGGAUUGUAAAGCACUUUAAGUUGGGAGGAAGGGUUGUAGAUUAAUACUCUGCAAUUUUGACGUUACCGACAGAAUAAGCACCGGCUAACUCUGUGCCAGCAGCCGCGGUAAUACAGAGGGUGCAAGCGUUAAUCGGAAUUACUGGGCGUAAAGCGCGCGUAGGUGGUUUGUUAAGUUGGAUGUGAAAUCCCCGGGCUCAACCUGGGAACUGCAUUCAAAACUGACUGACUAGAGUAUGGUAGAGGGUGGUGGAAUUUCCUGUGUAGCGGUGAAAUGCGUAGAUAUAGGAAGGAACACCAGUGGCGAAGGCGACCACCUGGACUAAUACUGACACUGAGGUGCGAAAGCGUGGGGAGCAAACAGGAUUAGAUACCCUGGUAGUCCACGCCGUAAACGAUGUCAACUAGCCGUUGGAAGCCUUGAGCUUUU
rnacentral:rRNA from 1 species